rnacentral:rRNA from 1 species
CGUAGGUGGCAAGCGUUAUCCGGAUUUAUUGGGCGUAAAGCGAGCGCAGGCGGUUUGAUAAGUCUGAUGUGAAAGCCUUUGGCUUAACCAAAGAAGUGCAUCGGAAACUGUCAGACUUGAGUGCAGAAGAGGGCAGUGGAACUCCAUGUGUAGCGGUGGAAUGCGUAGAUAUAUGGAAGAACACCAGUGGCGAAGGCGGCUGCCUGGUCUGCAACUGACGCUGAGGCUCGAAAGCAUGGGUAGCGAACAGGAUU